rnacentral:lncRNA from 1 species
CACCAGGAAAGAUACAGGUUUAGCCUUGUAAAAAAUUAUCAAAUUGACCAACUGCAUUAGAAAAAAUAUCUGAGAUUAUUUCACUGUUACUUUUGCUCACUGUCCAUCUUUUGUGCAUUCACACUCUAUUAAAACAUAGCCUUACCAACCUACUUCUAGAUCAUACACUCAUAUGUUAGAAUGAGAAGGGCAAGGAUGGUCAUCUUAGAGUUAAAGAACACAAAUGUCCUCUUGAAUUCUCUCAAAAAAGUAAAGACUAUGAACAAACCAUACUGGAAGAACCCAAAUAAACCAGCCCAGAUAUUUAAGUGAAAGUUAAAUAUAUUUUCAUAUUGUUUAGUAAAUUUCUUAAAAUCUUUAUUGCUAUUAUGAGAGUUAAAAAUGUGUAUUAACUAAAUAUGUAUAGUUGUUAUCAUGCAAAAAUCUGAAUUAUUGUAAAACUAUUAUAUAUUGUUAAAAUUGUAAUUCUGAAUUGUAUUUAAACAUAAUUCUUUCUGAUAUUGCUUUUAUGUCACCCAUGAUGAAAAGCGGACUAUAUAUAUAUAUACACAAACAUACAGAUAUGAACUAUUCCAUUUAAAAGUUUUCAUAGUUAUUUUCUUUUGAUUGGUCAUUUCUGCUGGCUUUAACUCCACUGAACUUUGAAAUAUUUCUGUAUAUGCUAUCAAAUAAGAAAACAUCCUGGAAUAUUUAGGAAAAAAAUCCAUUGAGAGACUUGUUUUCAUCAACCACUUUAUCAGACUUUUGAGAAGGUAUUGAAGACAUUGAAAGAAGUCAUUGACUUUCACCAUCAUCUCUUCUUUUUCUCAAGAAGAAAACAAGGAAAAAGAAAUUCUCUUCCUUCAAUGAAUCCCCAGUUUGGGGUCUGGGGCGCUUAGAGACAUUGUGAAAUCCAAUCUUGUGUUACAUUUUUCUCCUGGCUCACUCACUCUUUUUGAGAAGGUUUAUGGGCUAUAUGGCUGGUGAGACACGAUCCCCUCCUAAGAAAAUGUAGGUGCUCAGACAGGUAACCUCUGCUGCUACUGUU